rnacentral:rRNA from 1 species
AUGAACGCUGGCGGCGUGCCUAAUACAUGCAAGUCGAGCGAACAGACGAGGAGCUUGCUCCUCUGACGUUAGCGGCGGACGGGUGAGUAACACGUGGAUAACCUACCUAUAAGACUGGGAUAACUUCGGGAAACCGGAGCUAAUACCGGAUAAUAUAUUGAACCGCAUGGUUCAAUAGUGAAAGACGGUUUUGCUGUCACUUAUAGAUGGAUCCGCGCCGCAUUAGCUAGUUGGUAAGGUAACGGCUUACCAAGGCAACGAUGCGUAGCCGACCUGAGAGGGUGAUCGGCCACACUGGAACUGAGACACGGUCCAGACUCCUACGGGAGGCAGCAGUAGGGAAUCUUCCGCAAUGGGCGAAAGCUUGACGGAGCAACGCCGCGUGAGUGAUGAAGGUCUUCGGAUCGUAAAACUCUGUUAUUAGGGAAGAACAAAUGUGUAAGUAACUAUGCACGUCUUGACGGUACCAAAUCAGAAAGCCACGGCUAACUACGUG